GGACUUGAGAUUCAUACUCCUUUUUUAGCAGCCACAUCACACUUGUGGGUUACACUGGGCUUGUGGACCCAGGGUGUCUUUUAUACAUGGCUCUUUCCCAGAGUCCAGGGCUUCCCUCACAUCUGUAUCCUGGGGCCCUUAAAUGCAUAACCUCAGGUCUGUAGAGAAACCAAGGGAAUCAGCCAGUCUCACACAUUCCCAACUCUUCCUUCGGCUAGUAUGUAAUACAAGUUAUUAAAAUCCGAUGAUAGUGCUUGGGGUAGUGGCAGAUCUUUGAAAACUAUCUUCGAAAAACUGCUGGCUUUUUUUUUUAGCCAAGAGGUACUUGAGAAAGAAGGAAACCUACAAGCAAACAUAUCGAGUUCUAUUUUAAAGUUACGAUAAAAAGAUCUAUGUUUCCUAAAUGGCUAAAAUGCAUUGGUAUAAUUAUCUUAUUUGAUUCUCCUAACAAGUCUCUGUAACAAGUGUCUGAGGGGGGUAUUAUUCCAUACUAUGGAGACUCAGAGAAAAUCAACAUUAACAUAGCUACUAGGUAUUGGAUCCACCAUUUACUUUUUAUUUUGCUGGAUUUCAAAGCUUGUAUUCUUUCCACAGAGCAAGCACAGCCCUGGUCCAGGUCCUGUGCAGCGUCCUGGGGAUACAAAGGCAUUUAAUACAUGGUUCCUAGCAGUGUCUUUGAGAAGAUCAACAGACUGUGCGGUGGAUGGAAGAAAGAACAUGACUAGAAGCAGAAGGGCACGGGCUGGAUUUUACCUCACCAUUUGUUAGCUGUGUCACUUUCGGCAAGUCAUCCAACCUCUCUCAAUCUGUAAAAUGGAGGCUAGAAUUAAACAUCAUCUACCAUAUGGACUUGUCUUUGUGUGAUGGUGGAACACCAGCUACAUUAAAUGACUGAUAAACACUGAGCCCGUGAAGAUUUGGGAUGGAAAUGUUCAGAUCAUGAACCUUCUGAGAAAUGUGCUGCUCCCGCUGCUGCUGAAUAUUCCAGGAACUCAGGAGGCAAACGUUCCGAACAUCACUUCUAAUCAUCUCCCCUCUGUAAAGAUGUUGACCUGCUGAACCCAAGGAAUGCUUGUGGCCUCUUUCUUACCUGUCAUCUGUAAGCUUAAGCCUGGGUCCAGCUUCUUUCGGGGCUUUGAGC